GUUUUAGGCAAAACUAUAGUCGUUCCAGUCCUUCUCCGAAUAUCAAACUUGCAUCCACCAUACGCUUCACAAGACAUAAUCUUGCUAAGAGAUGGGAAGGGAGUUUAAAAUGUUGUUUCCGCGAUUCGGACGAAUGUCGUCUACAAAGCCACACACUGGAUUCGUCUCUGGUCGUUCCUGCUUCUUGCGCAUCGGCAGGAAUCUUUGGAUAUUGGAUGCAACCGUCUGGAGAUGGUAUUUCAGGAUAUCUUUAGCCGGACUGGUUGGCGGUGUACCAGUAGCCUUUUAGAUGCAUAGACUCGCUAUGUUCAACUUGUUCCGCAGGCUCAUUUUUGUAUCAGUGAUUUGUAAGACUUAUAACAUCAUAA